CCUGUUAAGUUAUCCUACAGUUGUUUGAAUUUUCUCCUAACUUUCUUUCAGAUGCAGACAUUUAAGAUCUGUGGCAGAGCGCCCCUCCCGGGUCAGGGGGUUUUCCCCGAGAAGGAAGUCCAGGCAGAUAGCUGCAGUCAAGGCCAAGUGUGCCAGGCAGUCCUCUUGCGAGAUGUCUCUGAUCCCAGAUGUCUGAGGCCAGGUGGGUGCAAGCUUAAGGUGUAGGUGGGC